rnacentral:rRNA from 1 species
GACGAACGCUGGCGGCGUGCUUAACACAUGCAAGUCGAACGGAAAGGCCCUGCUUUUGUGGGGUGCUCGAGUGGCGAACGGGUGAGUAACACGUGAGUAACCUGCCCUUGACUUUGGGAUAACUUCAGGAAACUGGGGCUAAUACCGGAUAGGAGCUCCUGCUGCAUGGUGGGGGUCGGAAAGUUUCGGCGGUUGGGGAUGGACUGGCGGCUUAUCAGCUUGUUGGUGGGGUAGUGGCUUACCAAGGCUUUGACGGGUAGCCGGCCUGAGAGGGUGACCGGCCACAUUGGGACUGAGAUACGGCCCAGACGCCUACGGGAGGCAGCAGUGGGGAGUAUUACACAGUGGGCGGAAGCCUGAUGCAGCAACGCCGCGUGCGGGAUGACGGCCUUCGGGUUGUAAACCGCUUUCGCCUGUGACGAAGCGGGAGUGACGGUAAUGGGUAAAGAAGCACCGGCUAACUACGUG